AUUGAACGCUGGCGGCAUGCCUUACACAUGCAAGUCGAACGGCAGCACGGGUGCUUGCACCUGGUGGCGAGUGGCGAACGGGUGAGUAAUACAUCGGAACAUGUCCUGUAGUGGGGGAUAGCCCGGCGAAAGCCGGAUUAAUACCGCAUACGAUCUACGGAUGAAAGCGGGGGACCUUCGGGCCUCGCGCUAUAGGGUUGGCCGAUGGCUGAUUAGCUAGUUGGUGGGGUAAAGGCCUACCAAGGCGACGAUCAGUAGCUGGUCUGAGAGGACGGCCAGCCACACUGGGACUGAGACACGGCCCAGACUCCUACGGGAGGCAGCAGUGGGGAAUUUUGGACAAUGGGCGAAAGCCUGAUCCAGCAAUGCCGCGUGUGUGAAGAAGGCCUUCGGGUUGUAAAGCACUUUUGUCCGGAAAGAAAUCCUUGGCCCUAAUACGGUCGGGGGAUGACGGUACCGGAAGAAUAAGCACCGGCUAACUACGUG
rnacentral:rRNA from 1 species